rnacentral:lncRNA from 1 species
CACCCCCAUCGAUUUAAGCAUCAAAUAGAUCUUCAAAACACAAGCUCCAAUGCUUUCACAGUUCACCUUGUGUUCACAUGUCCUAAUAAAUCUAAACUCAGCUUAUCAACCUCCAAGCCUAGUAAUGUCUUAAGGAGAUAUAAACAUUUGACAUCAUCGAUAGGUACCAAAAAAACCCUAUAGAUCCCACCGUUAAAGAAAACUCCACAUCAAUACCAAAAUUGAAUUUGGUUACAUGACUGUUACCACAAUUGUUAUCACUAGCAUAGUUGAAACUACCCCGAUCAAUGCCAUCAUUUUUAAUGCUAUUCUACCUAACAACACCAUGUUGGCACCAACCACCUCCCAACCCGCUGCUAUAACCUAAGGUCCUAAUGCAACCCACUACCACAGAAAAUACCAAGAAGAUACCACCAAAAACUUGGCUAAGGCUUUGCUUGAGUUAAGAUCCAAUUUGGUUCUUCACACUUAGGUGGCUACUGGCCUAAUGAAUCUAAG